rnacentral:tRNA from 1 species
UAAGAAGUAAUGUAGGUGGAUUGCAUAAGGAGUUUUGAUCUCUUAAGUAUAGGUUCAAGUCCUAUCUUUUUAA